UAGGUCCGGCCAAAGCAUUUUUGUCUAUUAAGGUACGAUUUUUAUCCCGUUUUUAAUGAUUUUUACGUUUUUGAGAUCGUUGCUGUAAAUGGCCCAAUUAGCCCGGGCCCCAUAAACAAAAAAAAAUAUAAAACCAAAUAAUUUCUAAUUAAUGUCCAAAUUACAAAAAACUCAAUACCAGGCCCAAACUAUUAACCCAAUACAUCCCAAACCCAACUAAACCUAAAACCCUAGCCCAACAAAACAACCCAAAACACUUUCAAAAAAAAAAAACUAAAAAACCUAGCCGCCGCCGCACCUCCUGCCUUCACCCACGCCAGCCG
rnacentral:lncRNA from 1 species